CUCUGGAGGAUACAGCACGUGAGCAUAGAGCCUGUGACUCGCUGUGGCUCAGGCCCCGGUGGGGUCCGGGUGACCUUUCCUAAAGUGCACACGGUUGGAUUUUCCGAGGUCGGGGAAGGUGCUGUUGUGAUGAAGAAACUGUAAAUUGAUUCUGCAGCACCGUGGAGUGCCAGAUUUUAUAAGCAGCUCCUUUGGUUUCUGAGCCAAGAAUGGCAACCAGCAAGUGAUGGAUUCGGGACAUCUGGCAUUGGCAGUGUGUCGGGAAGUCACAGCUGCCUGCUGUGAAAUCCCACACAGGCUGCUGUCUAGGUAGUCUCCCCCAGCACUCCUGUCCCAAGUCCCCACAUGGAUCAGAAAAAUACCAGUCUCUACAGACU